rnacentral:rRNA from 1 species
UACCAGCACCCCGAGUGGUCGGGACGUUUAUUGGGCCUAAAGCAUCCGUAGCCGGUUCUACAAGUCUUCCGUUAAAUCCAACUGCUUAACAGGUGGGCUGCGGAGGAUACUAUAGAGCUAGGAGGCGGGAGAGGCAAGCGGUACUCGAUGGGUAGGGGUAAAUACGUUCGAUCCAUUGAAGACCACCAGUGGCGGAGGCGGCUUGCCAGAACGCGCUCGACGGUGAGGGAUGAAAGCUGGGGGAGCAACCGGG